UUUUUUGCCGUCGGAGAUGGCUCCGGCACAGCAGUGGGUGACGGUUGGCUCCCUUCCCAGUGACUGGUUCUUCUUCUCCGUCGGGCUAGGGGGGGUUUGUGGCUAGGGUUAGGGUUUGGUGUGAAGUGAGGUAUUUAUAUCAAUGUCCUUUUAAUCUGGCCUAUCCAUCGCUUUUGAUCUGGACCGUCUGAUUGUGUUUAAAUAGAAAAUGAAUCUGAACCAUUCAUCACGAUUUGAUCUGGACUAUACGAUCGUAUUUAAAGAGAAAAUGAAUCUGGGUUGUUCAUCGUGUUUAAUCGUGACUGUUCGAUCGCGCUUGAGAAGGGAACAGAUCCAGACCGUCCACACGCGUGGGAAUAAAUUGGAUCAUCUGAUCGUGGGCAUGCGGAUUGCCAGUGUGGCCUCUCUGUGGCACCGCAUCAGUGUGCCUUGCCAUGCGGUGCGCUCCGGUUCAUUAGGGCCGCUGAUUGGGCGGUCUUACGUGAUACAUUUUUUUUAAAUUGUAUUUUGACCU
rnacentral:lncRNA from 1 species